GCCUGGGUGGCUCAGUCGGUUGAGCAUCUGGCUUCAGCUCAGGUCAUGAUCUCAGGCU
rnacentral:tRNA from 1 species